UUGACCUCGGAUCAGGUAGGGAUACCCGCUGAACUUAAGCAUAUCAAUAAGCGGAGGAAAAGAAACCAACAGGGAUUGCCCCAGUAACGGCGAGUGAAGCGGCAAGAGCUCAAAUUUGAAAGCUGGCUCCUUCGGGGUCCGCAUUGUAAUUUGCAGAGGAUGCUUCGGGAGCGGUCCCCAUCUAAGUGCCCUGGAACGGGACGUCAUAGAGGGUGAGAAUCCCGUAUGGGAUGGGGUGUCCGCGCCCGUGUGAAGCUCCUUCGACGAGUCGAGUUGUUUGGGAAUGCAGCUCUAAAUGGGUGGUAAAUUUCAUCUAAAGCUAAAUAUUGGCCGGAGACCGAUAGCGCACAAGUAGAGUGAUCGAAAGAUGAAAAGCACUUUGAAAAGAGAGUUAAAAAGCACGUGAAAUUGUUGAAAGGGAAGCGCUUGCGACCAGACUCGCUCGCGGGGUUCAGCCGGCAUUCGUGCCGGUGUAUUUCCCCGCGGGCGGGCCAGCGUCGGUUUGGGCGGUCGGUCAAAGGCCCUCGGAAGGUAACGCCCCUAGGGGCGUCUUAUAGCCGAGGGUGCAAUGCGACCUGCCUAGACCGAGGAACGCGCUUCGGCUCGGACGCUGGCAUAA
rnacentral:rRNA from 1 species